CCGAGGGAUAGCUCAAAUUUGACUUUUCUCGGGCCAUUCGAGUCAAGCCCGAGAGAGUCGAUUUUACUCGGGAUUUGCCUGAUCUGUCGAAGGCUGGAAGCGAGCUAAUGGAGAAGCGGAGCAGUAGAGGUCCGUGUCUUUCAGAGAAGGUAGAUUCAGCACUGGAUAUUCAAAAAAGCACGAAGACAAGGCAUGGUCGAAGGUAUCGAAGGAGAGGGAAAGGCUUUCACUAUGAACAUCACAUGACAUACUCUUCACUCCAACCUCAAUCAGAUUUUGGUUUGACCCAUCCGUCUGCGAUACAAAAACGAGAAAAUGGAAAGGAUUCAGUGAAAACAAGUGACUUUCCCUUGCCUGCAGCUAAAAACUUGGCGCCAUCAGCUGAAAAAGAAAAUUAUUGUUUGGCAAACACUGCAUUUCAUGGCUCCAGGAAUGUUUUUGUUCCAUCUGAGGUCCAUAUUUACAAUAAAAAAUGUUCUGAAAUUUCAACACAUGUAAAGGAAAUCAACAUGGCAAGAGUGAAUAAGAUAAAAUGCUUGACUAGCGAAUUUCAUGAAAAUGACAAUACAGACGCUGCAGUUUUACCUGACAAUAGAAGUUGUUUAGGUAACAAAAUGGAUAGCACACUUGUCGCAGUUGAGAGAGCAUUGAGAAGCCCUUGUCGAAAGAAGUUGCUCGUCCUCGAUCUCAAUGGUAUUCUCUGUGAUGUGGUUUUUGGUUCUCAUGGCUCUCGUUUGCCAUAUAAGAAGGUUAGCUUGCGAUCAGUCUUCAAAAGGCCUUUUUUGGAUGAAUUUCUUGCCUUCUGCUUUGAAAGGUUUGCUGUCGGCGUAUGGUCUUCGAGGAACAAGAAUAACAUUAUUGGAGUCAUCAAUUAUGUAAUGCGGGAUUCCAAAGACAGGUUACUUUUUUGCUGGGAUCAAUCUAAAUGCACAUUUACUGGGUUUAAUACAAUUGAGAAUAGGCAUAAACCAUUGGUGUUAAAGGAGUUGAUGAAGUUGUGGGACAAAGAGGAAGCGGACCUUCCAUGGGAGAAGGGAGAGUACUCUCCAUCAAAUACAUUGUUGAUUGAUGAUUCACCAUACAAGGCCCUCUCCAAUCCUCUGCACACCGCUAUUUUUCCUUCUCCAUAUGAUUUUCGAGACGAAGGGGAUAGCGUUUUAGGGCCAGGGGGAGCAAUUCGAGUUUAUCUGGAGAGUAUAGCCAUGGCUGAUGAUGUUCGAGAUCACGUGAAGAAACACUCAUUCGGCCAACAAGCUAUCACACCCGAACAUAAAAUGUGGAGCUUUUAUAAGAAUAUCAUCGAUAAGAAUGACCCCACGGCUUUAACCAGAUGAGCUGCAGGUUUAUGAAAGAAUUUAUUGGUCCAGAUUUGGCUCAAAGGUAGGAGUAUGGUCUUUUGGCUAAGUGGUCUCAGAAAGGAAACUUUUGCUUUGAUUCUUGAAGCAAUGAAGAAUAAAAAUGAUUAUUAUUUGGGUGAAUGUAAAUUGAAUGCAUUAAAAUGUUCGGACGUGGAUGAGGGUUGAUGCAAAGCGGCAGCAACGAGCAAUGGUACGCGGUAGCCUUGGCGGCUGGUGUGGCUCCGAGAUGAUGACAUGUUGGAAUAACCGACAAGUGCAUUGCUUGAUUUGAAAUAUAAUGAUUUGGGCAAUUCCCAAAUGUACAAUAAAUUGAUAUUUCGUAGUAUUUCAAAUCUCCCAAAAUUUUAUUUUAUUUUGUUUUGGUAUCAAGCCAACCAAACUGCACUGAAGUUUUAUGUCCAAACAGCACUUAAGCUCUGUGACCCUUUAUAUAAUUGGCCA